GAUGAAGAACGUAGCGAAAUGCGAUAAGUAAUGUGAAUUGCAGAAUUCAGUGAAUCAUCGAAUCUUUGAACGCGCCUUGCGCCUUUUGGUAUUCCGAAAGGCACACCUGUUUGAGCGUCAUGAAUACCUCAAUCUCCAUCUUUUCAUCGGAUUGAUGGGUGACUUGGAUGUUGAGCCCUGCUGGUAUGCUAUAUCAGCUGGCUUUAAACUUAUUAGCCGGCUCUGUACUGGAUCGGUUUGACUCGACGUGAUAAUAUUAUCGUUGAGGAUGCAUGUCUCAUGCAGCCGGAAAGUAUCAAAGCAGCUUCUAGCUUGCCUUUAGUGCACUUUUACAUUUUAGACCUCAGAUCAGGUGGGACUACCCGCUGAACUUAAGCAUAUCAAUAAGCGGAGGA
rnacentral:misc_RNA from 1 species